rnacentral:rRNA from 1 species
GACGAACGCUGGCGGCGUGCUUAACACAUGCAAGUCGAACGGAAAGGCCCUGCUUUUGUGGGGUGCUCGAGUGGCGAACGGGUGAGUAACACGUGAGUAACCUGCACUUGACUUUGGGAUAACUUCAGGAAACUGGGGCUAAUACCGGAUAGGAGAUCCUGCUGCAUGGUGGGGGUUGGAAAGUUUCGGCGGUUGGGGAUGGACUCGAGGCUUAUCAGCUUGUUGGUGGGGUAGUGGCUUACCAAGGCUUUGAAGGGUAGCCGGCCUGAGAGGGUGACCGGCCACAUUGGGACUGAGAUACGGCCCAGACUCCUACGGGAGGCAGCAGUGGGGAAUAUUGCACAAUGGGCGGAAGCCUGAUGCAGCAACGCCGCGUGCGGGAUGACGGCCUUCGGGUUGUAAACCGCUUUCGCCUGUGACGAAGCGUUAGUGACGGUAAUGGGUAAAGAAGCACCGGCUAACUACGUG